rnacentral:lncRNA from 1 species
UCGGGACGACUCAUUGUCAUCUGUUCGUUGAUGGAGAAUGUAGUCAUUUUGGCGCUUUUUAUACACGUGUUGAUGGACCGACCAUUGGAUAUUUCGACCUAAUUUUUAUGCAAAAUUGGAACUGAACAGCCUAAAUGUGCCGAAAUGCAGUUAUUGUGCUUUAUCGUCCCAGUCUGAAUUUGGACCUUUCGAUUCUUUUCUGCCACGAGGAUCUCUGCAACUGUCAACGCCCUGCUAGACGCCAACUCAAAGGAAUUUUGGCGUUGAUACUUUUUGGGAGAACCGGAAGCCAAGAUUAUUGUCCGGAAAGUUUAUAAAAAUGCUGUGCCGUACCCUGAAAAAAGAAAAGAAACGGGUUACAAUCCAUUUUGCGACUUUGCCGACAUCCCCUCGGGCUAGAAAUAUUCCGUUGCCGAUCCACAUAGAUUUAGAAAUCCAUACUGAACACAAAUAAAUAUUAAAUAAAUCCCCCGCGCCAAUAAAAAAGAAGAAGGAAGAAGAAAAAAAGAAGUAUCAAGAAUUAUAGACUAUAGACGAGAGUCUGAGAGUCUUGAGUGAGAGCUCUGUAUAUGGUUAUUUUUCCAUGUGUACUAUACGGCCGGUAUAUCUAUCGUGAGUGAAUGCCGAAAGUGCAUCGAGUCAAUCCCCCCCUCAGUGGAUGUUGGCCAAGAUCCAAGUUGGGUGGACGUUCCGUUCUCCGACCAAGAGGAACAGGAACAUUAUCACGCGGAACGACAAUAAGAAAAGAAACGAAAAAAGUUGAGAGUCAGAGAGACAGGGGAGAACCGGUUAUGACUGAGGCGAACUUUGACCGCCCGCUGGUUUUUUGGCCAUAUAGAAAAACCUCUUCGCUAGCUGCGAUGGCCGUGGAAUUCCGCCUGGGUCGGAUCGCUCGUUCGGUCUCAUGCGAGCGUCGAGUCGAAAAAACUGGCCUUUUGCCUGCAUCAUCGGCCAACAACAACCAGAAGAAUAAAAAGAAGAAGAAAAAAUGAAACGGUUCGCGUGCGUUGAUCCUGUGAAGGACCAACAAGGUAACUCACUUAUAUAGAGAUGUUGUUGGUGUGUGUGUGCACCUCUCUCCUAUUUAUUAUUAUCAUACGGCGGAGAGAUUUCUUUUGGGGACGCAAACAGCAACAAUCUGAUAACAGUUAGCGAGACUCUGGAGGACGACGGGGAAAUCGUAUAUAUACAUAAAGAGGAAAGAGUAUAGAGAGAGCUAGAGACAAUUGACUUAACGUUCGGUUGGUUGGACGCCCGAGUGCGUCGUCGUCGUCGUCUUUUUCGUCCCUUUUUCUUUUCCUUUUUCUUUUCUCCCGAACGGAUUAUCAAAAGUCAAGUGCUUUGGUCACGUGAGGACGCAGACGCCGAGGGUAUAUAUAAUACGUCUAUACCUUUUUUUUUCCCCGAAAGUUUCUUCAUCUUUUGUGUAUGCGUCCGAGACAACCGGUGAAGAAGAAAAAUGUUUUGACAUGACAAGCGCUUCUCUGUGAUGUUUGACAAUUUCCUCUUCUUCUUCUUCUUCUUCUUCAUGCGGGUAUUUGACUCUAUUGUCUCCUUAAUUGUCGUCGUUAUCUUCUUCUUCUUUAGCCUCGACUCUUCGGCGGUUUUUCUUCAACUUCUUCUUUUUUCUGAUUGCACGCCAUGUCGCCGUUUGCGGAGAUAAUUGUCGACUUUUCUUCUUUUUCUUUUUGUCGAGGCUUUUAAAUUAUGAUAGACGUUAGGAAAAAGAGACGUGGCGGUCUUGUCCUCCUCGUAAUAUGUGAUGAGUCGAGUCGGGGCGUGACCUCUACCAUCUUCUUCUUUCGUGUGUGGUAAUUCCUCGUUGGUUUGCCGAGCAAAAUAAACCCGUUUCUUUUACUUUGGCUAGAAAGAAAAUAUAAAAUAAAA